UACGUAGGGGCAAGCGUUGUCCGGAAUCAUUGGGCGUAAAGAGCGUGUAGGCGGCUCGGUAAGUCCGCUGUGAAAGUCCAGGGCUCAACCCUGGAAUGCCGGUGGAAACUGUCGAGCUAGAGUCCGGAAGAGGCGAGUGGAAUUCCUGGUGUAGCGGUGAAAUGCGCAGAUAUCAGGAGGAACACCAAUGGCGAAGGCAACUCGCUGGGACGGUACUGACGCUGAGACGCGAAAGCGUGGGGAGCAAACAGG
rnacentral:rRNA from 1 species